AAAUUGAAGAGUUUGAUCAUGGCUCAGAUUGAACGCUGGCGGCAGGCCUAACACAUGCAAGUCGAAUGGUAACAGGAAGCAGCUUGCUGCUUUGCUGACGAGUGGCGGACGGGUGAGUAAUGUCUGGGAAACUGCCUGAUGGAGGGGGAUAACUACUGGAAACGGUGGCUAAUACCGCAUAACGUCGCAAGACCAAAGAGGGGGACCUUCGGGCCUCUUGCCAUCAGAUGUGCCCAGAUGGGAUUAGCU
rnacentral:rRNA from 1 species